GUUACUUAAUCAGAUAGAGAACAAAAACUCGUUUGCCUUGGUGAAGAUGUUGAUUUGGUCUGUAGUGUGGACAGCAAUCCCCUUUCAAAUCUCUCGUGGCACAACCAAACCGGCAUUAUUGAAGAGAAAUUUGGAGCAAACAGAAUUGAGCUUCGUUUAACAAACGUUUCGACUGACCAUUUCCAGACGUAUAGUUGCAAGGCACAUAACGGAAUUGGUGGAAUUGUAACAAAAAAUAUAACGCUUAUUGUGAAAGAUCCAUCAGAAAUUGUAAUAUCCGAGGCAAUAAACCCAUCGGCCGAGUCAAACAUUGCCUGUAUCGUGGUACCGAUUAUAGGUUGUAUAAGUUUUGUAAUUCUGUUUGCGGUUAUUGUGGCUGUAGUCAUCCAUGGGAGACGACAGAAUGCACAGACAGGACGAACAUUCAUCAAAUUGAAGCUGAAGAAAG